rnacentral:rRNA from 1 species
AUUGAACGCUGGCGGCAGGCCUAACACAUGCAAGUCGAACGAGUGGCGGACGGGUGAGUAAUGUCUGGGGAUCUGCCCGAUGGAGGGGGAUAACUACUGGAAACGGUGGCUACUACCGCAUACUAUCCGCUGGGCCCCGGUGGGAUUAGCUAGUCGGUGGGGUAAAGGCUCACCCAGGCGACGAUCCGUAGCUGGUCUGAGAGGAUGAUCAGCCACACUGGAACUGAGACACGGUCCAGACUCCUACGGGAGGCAGCAGUGGGGAAUAUUGGACAAUGGGCGCAAGCCUGAUGCAGCCAUGCCGCGUGUGUGAAGAAGGUCUUCGGGUUGUAAAGUACUUUCAGUGGGGAGGCGUUACUCGCAGAAGAAGCAACGGCUAACUCCGUGCCAGCAGCCGCGGUAAUAC